rnacentral:rRNA from 1 species
CCUACGGGUGGCAGCAGUGAGGAAUAUUGGUCAAUGGGAGAGAUCCUGAACCAGCCAAGCCGCGUGAGGGAAGACGGCCCUAUGGGUUGUAAACCUCUUUUGUCGGAGAACAAAACCCGGGACGUGUCCCGGACUGCGUGUAUCCGAAGAAAAAGCAUCGGCUAAUUCCGUGCCAGCAGCCGCGGUAAUACGGAGGAUGCGAGCGUUAUCCGGAUUUAUUGGGUUUAAAGGGUGCGUAGGCGGUCCGUUAAGUCAGCGGGAAAAUUGGGGGGCUCAACCCCGUCGAGCCGUUGAUACUGGCAGACUUGAGUUGGCGAGAAGUACGCGGAAUGCGUGGUGUAGCGGUGAAAUGCAUAGAUAUCGCGAAGAACUCCGAUUGCGAAGGCAGCGUACCGGCGCCAGACUGACGCUGAGGCACGAAAGCGUGGGGAUCGAACAGGAUUAGAUACCCCAGUAGUC